UACGUAGGGUGCAAGCGUUUAAUCGGAAUUACUGGGCGUAAAGCGUGCGCAGGCGGUUCUAUAAGACAGAUGUGAAAUCCCCGGGCUCAACCUGGGAACUGCAUUUGUGACUGUAGAGCUGGAGUACGGUAGAGGGGGAUGGAAUUCCGCGUGUAGCAGUGAAAUGCGUAGAUAUGCGGAGGAACACCGAUGGCGAAGGCAAUCCCCUGGACCUGUACUGACGCUCAUGCACGAAAAGCGUGGGGAGCAAACAGG
rnacentral:rRNA from 1 species